UGGGGAAUUUUGGACAAUGGGCGAAAGCCUGAUCCAGCAAUGCCGCGUGUGUGAAGAAGGCCUUCGGGUUGUAAAGCACUUUUGUCCGGAAAGAAAUCCUUGGCUCUAAUACAGUCGGGGGAUGACGGUACCGGAAGAAUAAGCACCGGCUAACUACGUGCCAGCAGCCGCGGUAAUACGUAGGGUGCAAGCGUUAAUCGGAAUUACUGGGCGUAAAGCGUGCGCAGGCGGUUUGCUAAGACCGAUGUGAAAUCCCCGGGCUCAACCUGGGAACUGCAUUGGUGACUGGCAGGCUAGAGUAUGGCAGAGGGGGGUAGAAUUCCACGUGUAGCAGUGAAAUGCGUAGAGAUGUGGAGGAAUACCGAUGGCGAAGGCAGCCCCCUGGGCCAAUACUGACGCUCAUGCACGAAAGCGUGGGGAGCAAACAGGAUUAGAUACCCUGGUAGUCCACGCCCUAAAACGAUGUCAACUAGUUGUUGGGGAUUCAUUUCCUUAGUAACGUAGCUAACGCGUGAAGUUGACCGCCUGGGGAGUACGGUCGCAAGAUU
rnacentral:rRNA from 1 species